rnacentral:lncRNA from 1 species
AUCCAGUGAGAAGGUCGCUAGUUUGCAUAUGAUGAUUUUAAAAAUAAAACUUGAAAUUGCAUUAGCAUGGCUAUCUCACACACUACACUUCAAGGAUGAUUUAAAGAUUACUGCUAAUAUUUGAAUAAGGAAGAUGAACUUGGAUUAACUUCUUUGGUGCUAGCUAUGGUUCUUGAUGAUUUAUGUUCUCAAAUGAAAUUCUAUGAGGGUCACAUCGGGGGAAACUAAUGUUUUUCAUGUUAGUACUUUUUCAUGUUUUCUUUGUUUUGCUCGAGGACUAGCAAAAGCUAAGUGUGGGGGUAUUUGAUCGGAUCAUAUUUACAUAUAUUUUUACUUCAAAUUCACUCGUCUUUUCUUAGUUAGUUUCUUAUAUUUUCGAGCUAUUUACGUUAUUUUCGUGUUUAUAGGAUUUGUUAUGCAAAGAAAAUAAAAAUGGCACAAAUUAGUUUUAAAUAGUAAACAGAAAAUUGUGGAACACGGGUGGACCACGAGAAAAAUAAUGGAGAGCAUAAAAUAUA